GAUGAACGCUAGCUACAGGCUUAACACAUGCAAGUCGAGGGACCGGCGCACGGGUGAGUCACACGUAUCCAACCUGCCCUUUACUCGGGGAUAGCCUUUCGAAAGAAAGCUUAAUACUCGAUAUAACGGAUGGGGAUUCGUUCCAUUUGGUUGUUGGUGAGGUAACGGCCCACCAAGCCUUCGAUGGAAAGGGGUUCUGUGAGGAAGGGCCCCCACAUGGGAACUGAGACACGGUCCAAACUCCUACGGGAGGAAGCAGUGAGGAAUAUUGGUCAAUGGGCGUUAGCCUGAACCAGCCAAGUAGCGUGAAGGAUGAAGGCGGAUGGGGCGUAAACUUCUGUUAUAUAAGAAUAUGUAUUAUAUGAAUAAGGAUCGGCUAACUCCGUGCCAGCAGCCGCGGUAAUUC
rnacentral:rRNA from 1 species